UACGGGGGGGGGCAAGCGUUUGUUCGGAAUUACUGGGCGUAAAGGGCUCGUAGGCGGCCAACUAAGUCAGACGUGAAAUCCCUCGGCUUAACCGGGGAACUGCGUCUGAUACUGGAUGGCUUGAGUUUGGGAGAGGGAUGCGGAAUUCCAGGUGUAGCGGUGAAAUGCGUAGAUAUCUGGAGGAACACCGGUGGCGAAGGCGGGUCUCUGGGCCGAUACUGACGCUGAGGAGCGAAAGCGUGGGGAGCGAACAGG
rnacentral:rRNA from 1 species